UGGGGAAUAUUGGACAAUGGGCGCAAGCCUGAUCCAGCCAUGCCGCGUGAGUGACGAAGGUCUUCGGAUUGUAAAGCUCUUUUGGCGGGGACGAUAAUGACGGUACCCGCAGAAUAAGCCCCGGCUAACUUCGUGCCAGAAGCCGCGGUAAUACGAAGGGGGCUAGCGUUGUUCGGAAUUACUGUGCGUAAAGCGCACGUAGGCGGAGUUGCCAGUCAGGGGUGAAAUCCCGGGGCGCAACCUCGGAACUGCCCUUGAUACAGCAAGUCUUGAGUCCGGAAGAGGUGAGUGGAAUGCCUAGUGUAGAGGUGAAAUUCGUAGAUAUGAGGAAGAACACCAGUGGCGAAGGCGGCUCACUGGUCCGGUACUGACGCUGAGGUGCGAAAGCGUGGGGAGCAAACA
rnacentral:rRNA from 1 species